rnacentral:rRNA from 1 species
UACGAAGGGGGCUAGCGUUGUUCGGAUUUACUGGGCGUAAAGCGCACGUAGGCGGAUCGGUAAGUCGGGGGUGAAAUCCUGGAGCUCAACUCCAGAACUGCCUUCGAUACUGGCGAUCUUGAGUCCGGAAGAGGUGAGUGGAACUCCUAGUGUAGAGGUGGAAUUCGUAGAUAUUAGGAAGAACACCAGUGGCGAAGGCGGCUCACUGGUCCGGUACUGACGCUGAGGCGCGAAAGCCAGGGGAGCAAACGGG